rnacentral:rRNA from 1 species
AGAGUUUGAUCCUGGCUCAGAUUGAACGCUGGCGGCAUGCCUUACACAUGCAAGUCGAACGGCAGCACGGAGCUUGCUCUGGUGGCGAGUGGCGAACGGGUGAGUAAUAUAUCGGAACGUACCCUAGAGUGGGGGAUAACGUAGCGAAAGCUUUGCUAAUACCGCAUAAGAUCUACGGAUGAAAGCAGGGGACCGCAAGGCCUUGCGCGAACGGAGCGGCCGAUGGCAGAUUAGGUAGUUGGUGGGGUAAAAGCUUACCAAGCCGACGAUCUGUAGCUGGUCUGAGAGGACGACCAGCCACACUGGGACUGAGACACGGCCCAGACUCCUACGGGAGGCAGCAGUGGGGAAUUUUGGACAAUGGGCGAAAGCCUGAUCCAGCCAUGCCGCGUGCAGGAUGAAGGCCUUCGGGUUGUAAACUGCUUUUGUACGGAACGAAAAGACUCUGGUUAAUACCUGGGGUCCAUGACGGUACCGUAAGAAUAAGCACCGGCUAACUACGUGCCAGCAGCCGCGGUAAUACGUAGGGUGCAAGCGUUAAUCGGAAUUACUGGGCGUAAAGCGUGCGCAGGCGGUUAUAUAAGACAGAUGUGAAAUCCCCGGGCUCAACCUGGGAACUGCAUUUGUGACUGUAUAGCUAGAGUACGGCAGAGGGGGAUGGAAUUCCGCGUGUAGCAGUGAAAUGCGUAGAUAUGCGGAGGAACACCGAUGGCGAAGGGCAUCCCCUGGGGCUGUACUGACGCUCAUGCACGAAAGCGUGAGGAGCAACAGGAUUAGAUACCCUGGUAGUC